rnacentral:misc_RNA from 1 species
UCCGGCUUAACGCCGGCAGUCUCCCUAGAGUGCCCAACUGAAUGGUGGCAACUAAGGACGAGGGUUGCGCUCGUUGCGGGACUUAACCAAACAUCUCACGACACGAGCUGACGACGGCCAUGCAUCACCUGUCACUACGGCCCGAAGGCACUCUCUCCUUUCGGAGAAAUUAGUAGGAUGUCGAGCCUGGGUAAGGUUCUUCGCUUACCAUCGAAUUAAACAACACGCUCCACCGCUUGUGCGGGUCCCCGUCAAUUCCUUUAUGUUUUAAGCUUGCGCUCGUACUCCACAGGCGGGAUGCUUAACGCGUUAGCUUCGCUACUACCGGGGUCGAUACCGAUAACAGCUAGCAUCCAUUGUUUACGGCGUGGACUAC